GAAAUGCGAUAAGUAGUGUGAAUUACAGAAUUCUGUGAAUCAUCGAAUCUUUGAACGCACAUUGCGCCCCUUGGUAUUCCAUGGGGCAUGCCUGUUCGAGCGUCAUUUGUACCCUCAAGCUCUGCUUGGUGUUGGGUGUUUGUCCCGUCUCCGCGCGUGGACUCGCCCCAAAGUGAUUGGCAGCCGGCGUACUGGUCCCGGAGCGCAGCACAUGUCGCGCAAACGAGUGCCUUGGUACGGCGGCGUCCAUAAGCCCCUCUCUCACGCUCUUGACCUCGGAUCAGGUAGGGAUACCCGCUGAACUUAAGC
rnacentral:misc_RNA from 1 species